CAGACAUAUUUACUGAAGGGUAAAGCAGUCUUUGGAGAAACUGAAUCUUGUAUUCAGUGAGAAAUGAUUGACAGGUGGCUGUAGUCAAGCAAGAGGCUAGGAGUCCUGCGAAAUUGGUGGGGCAUGAUUUUAAUAAAGAAUUUUUAUAACAGUUCAGUCAAUAAUAAUGAAUUGGCCUGGGUAGAAGGAGCUAUGCUGGGUAUCUGAAUAAGUGACAUUGGUUGAUCAGUUAAUAAAACCUUUUGAAUAGAUAGAUUCAGAGCACUAAGGCAGCCAUGGCCACACUCAUACAUGAAGACUUCCGGAUCUGCUUCAGAAAAUAGAAAGAAUGAAGGGAUAAGUGUGUGUCAGAAGCAAAGGGAAGUAUUUUGAGGGAGAUAAAUGACAAUGUGUCUUCGAUGAAAUACAUUUAAAAAAUUAAAUGCUCCCCUCAUUUUUCCAUUGCACUUUGUAGAAUACAUCCAACAUGUAUUAUGCAGAGAAUAUUGGACAACAAAUGAGACACUCAUGGUUCUUUCCUUUGCAGGAGGGGCGUGGUAGAGAAAUACACCGUGGAGACAAACAGGGAAUGACGCAUAGUGAGUGCUGCCCACGUGACACCACUCAUGCCAGCAGCAGCAGCAGCGGCAGCAGCCGUGGAAUCUCAUGGAGAAUGCGGGCACUCGUCGUCCCCUAGACCAGUGCAAUGAAAUCACUGAGAGAUGGGACAGGAGGAUUCCUAUUUUUGAACAGUUCCUCAUGAUAUUUCAGGGUCAGUCCUGGGAAGAGACCAUGGGCUAUGAGAAUUCCGUGCGUCAAU
ensembl:lincRNA